rnacentral:lncRNA from 1 species
AGAAAUUGAAAGAGGAGGAGAGGAGGAGAGACCCACAGUUGAUCUCUGAGAAGUGAGUAGCUGGAGGCACCAGGAUACCAGCCAAGCCUAAAGGAUAAAGCAAAUCCCUGGACAUGGCUUUUGAUUCCAAGCUAAGAAGUGCAAGGUUUGAAUGGUGAAGAAAUGAUGGACGCUGUUUGUCUCAAACAAGGACUCUAAUGAUACAACAGAACAAGUCACAAGAAAGCUUGCCUGGAAAACCAUACACUGGCCUCUUCGUGGUGAAGUCCUUCACAAUCCUUACAAACAUAGAAAAUAUUCAGCAAUUCGUUUGUUUGUUUUCCAGUCCACUCUUACUUGAGAAAAAUGCAAAACAUCAAAGACACAGAAAAACCACCAGUCUAUACAGCUUGCCCAUACUAAAUUGUUAUUCAUUUCAGAAGAGUGUACAGUUUCUUUCUGUAAGACUCUAUUAAACCAGUUACUCUACAAUAGCAAACAUUUUAGGCAAACCUAACCAUUGCUUCCCAUAAAGAUAUUUAUAUCUUUAAGUGGUAUCUGAUUCAUCCCUAAGAAAUAUGUUAUCAAGAUGUUUGUUUGUUUGUUUGUUUGUUCAUUUGUUUUUGAGAUGGAGUUUCACUCUUGUUGCCCAGGCUGGAGUGCAGUGGCAUGAUCUCGGUUCACUGCAACCUCUGCCUCCCGGUUCAAGCGAUUCUCCUGCCUCAGCCUCCCGAGUAGCUGGGAUUACUGGCACCCACCACCACUCCCAGCUAAUUUUUUGUAUUUUUAAUAGAGACGGGGUUUCACCAUGUUGGCCAGGCUGGUCUCAAACUCCUGACCUCAGGUGAUCCACUUGCCUCGACCUCCCAAAGUGCUGGGAUAACAGGC